rnacentral:rRNA from 1 species
CGUGGGUAACCUGCCCCAUACAAAGGGAUAGCCACUGGAAACGGUGAUUAAUACCAUAUGAGAUCGUAGAGUCGCAUGACUGAGCGGUUAAAGAUUUAUCGGACAGGGAUGGCCAUGCGUACCAUUAGUUAGUUGGUGAGGUAACGGCUCACCAAGACAGCGAUGGUUAGGGGCCCUGAGAGGGGGAUCCCCCACACUGGUACUGAGACACGGACCAGACUCCUACGGGAGGCAGCAGUGAGGAAUAUUGGACAAUGGCCGAAAGUUGAUCCAGCCAUGCCGCGUGCAGGAUGACUGCCCUAUGGUUGUAAACUGCUUUUACACGGGAAGAAACCUCCCCUCGUGAGGGGAGCUGACGGUACCGUGAGAAUAAGGACCGGCUAACUCCGUGCCAGCAGCCGCGGUAAUACGGAGGGUCCGAGCGUUAUCCGGAAUCAUUGGGCUUAAAGGGUCCGUAGCGGGCCGAUAAGUCAGGGGUGAAAGGCCACGGCUCAACCGUGGACUGCCCUUGAUACUGUCGGUCUUGAGUCGUUGUGGAGUUGCCGGAACAUGUGGUGUAGCGGUGAAAUGCAUAGAUAUCACAUAGAACACCGAUCGCGAAGCAGGUGACUAACAACGUACUGACGCUGAUGGACGAAAGCGUGGGGAGCGAACGGGAUUAGAUACCCCGGUAGUCCACGCCGUAAACGAUGGACACUAGCUGUCGGGCCUUCGGCUCGGCGGCCAAGCGAAAGUGAUAAGUGUCCCACCUGGGGAGUACGUUCGCAAGAAUGAAACUCAAAGGAAUUGACGGGGGCCCGCACAAGCGUGGAGCAUGUGGUUUAAUUCGAUGAUA